AACCAAUACUAAGGACAUUUCCGUAAGAGAUCCUUGAAUGUAUUCAUGUCUCAAAAAGAGAUUCCAAUUCCGUUUGCACAAAAGAAGAUAUCUCAUUCCUAAGCUU